UACUUCCCUCUAAGGAAAACUGUGUUUCUGAGACACAGCAGACCAUGCCGAAUCCCCUCAGUCCUCUCCCAGUCACUGCUUCCCCAUCCACACGUGGAGAUGAGGAGGAGACCUUCCUGCUGGCUGAGGACUCUGUAACUCCACUGAGUUUGUUCACAUGAACAGCUAAGACUGCUGAAAGACAAGAUGAAUAUAGCUGCAUUCAAGACCCUUCUCAAGGCAUCUCUACACAAAGCAGCGAGAUAUUUCCUCAAGUAUGAAUGCAAGACAUGCCAUUUUCUGCAGCAUAAGCAGAGGAUUCUGCAGCAGAAUCAACUCCCACAUGCAGGGCUGGUUUCUAUCCCUUGACAGCUUGACAAGGGUGGGUACGCGUUUUUGUCCGAGGACUGCACUUGACUCCGUGGGCCAGAUAAAUACUUGGGAAAGAAAAGGAAACUUUGUAGUGUCACCGCACCCCAUUUCCACAGAAAGCUAAGCUGCCAAGCAAAGCUCUCUUAGAAACUUUGCGCAGAGAAUAUAAAAGGGAAAAAAAUAAAUCAGUAUGUUUU